UAACCUGCCCAAGAGAUCGGGAUAACACCUGGAAACAGAUGCUAAUACCGGAUAACAACAGAUGAUGCCUAUCAACUGUUUAAAAGAUGGUUCUGCUAUCACUCUUUGAUGGACCUGCGGUGCAUUAGCUAGUUGGUAGGGUAACGGCCUACCGAGGCGAUGAUGCAUAGCCGAGUUUAGAGACUGAUCGGCCACAUUGGGACUGAGACACGGCCCAAACUCCUACGGGAGGCAGCAGGC
rnacentral:rRNA from 1 species